GCGGUCGUGGCGGGAUUGGGAGACGCGCCGCGUUGAGGUCGCUGUGGGGCAACCCGUGGAAGUUCGAGUCUUCUCGACCGCACCA
rnacentral:tRNA from 1 species